GUUACCCUUUUUUUUUAAAAAAAAUCUUAAAACCCCUUUCCCCUCUUCUCUACUAAGGUUUCGACCUAGUCUUGGGGAGUCGUCGCCGAGCCGCCGCUCCUCUACCGUGGGCGGUGGUCGGAAGGGUGCGAAACGGGCUUUUUAGCCCCUGUUUAAAACUCCCUUAAAGGCCAUGCCUUCUCAGCCUGAAAACCCGAGAGAAGAAAGCCCUUCCUCCCCUUUUAAUUCGAUUUCGACGACGAAGAGGGGACUCCGACGACGCUACCCCGGGGUUCAGGUGUUAGACACGUGGAGGAUGGCGUGCGGCGAUGGUCUCGCGCGAGGUGACGUGCGAUGCUAGUCAAAGGGAGGCCUAGGGUUUUUAUUUUCUGAACAUGUUGUGGGUUAGUGGGCUAGGGCUAGUUUUGGAGUUUUAAUUGGGUUUGGGUAGUUCUGAUUUGGGCUAUGCAUGUUGUUAAUUGGGCUCUGAUAUUUGAAAAAAAAAUAGGCUGCAAAA